CCGAGUUUACAACUCCCAAACCCAAUGUGAGCGUUACCAAACUGUUGCCUCGGCGGGAUCUCUGCCCCGGGUGCGUCGCAGCCCCGGACCAAGGCGCCCGCCGGAGGACCAACCAAAACUCUUAUUGUAUACCCCCUCGCGGGUUUUUUUAUAAUCUGAGCCUUCUCGGCGCCUCUCGUAGGCGUUUCGGAAAUGAAUCA
rnacentral:misc_RNA from 1 species